GUGUACAGCCAUGCCACCCUGAACAAGCCCCAUCCCUUCUGAUCUCGGAAGCUAAGCAGGGUCGGUCCUGAUUAGUGCUUGGAUGGGAGACCACCUGGGAAGACUGGGUGCUGUAGGUG
rnacentral:rRNA from 1 species